rnacentral:tRNA from 1 species
AUUUAAAUAGUUUAAUUAAAAAUAUUGAAUUGUGGUUUCAAUGAUAUAAAAAUUUAUUUUAAAUU